rnacentral:rRNA from 1 species
GAUGAACGCUGGCGGCGUGCCUAAUACAUGCAAGUCGAGCGAACGGACGAGAAGCUUGCUUCUCUGAUGUUAGCGGCGGACGGGUGAGUAACACGUGGAUAACCUACCUAUAAGACUGGGAUAACUUCGGGAAACCGGAGCUAAUACCGGAUAAUAUUUUGAACCGCAUGGUUCAAAAGUGAAAGACGGUCUUGCUGUCACUUAUAGAUGGAUCCGCGCUGCAUUAGCUAGUUGAUAAGGUAACGGCUUACCAAGGCAACGAUGCAUAGCCGACCUGAGAGGGUGAUCGGCCACACUGGAACUGAGACACGGUCCAGACUCCUACGGGAGGCAGCAGUAGGGAAUCUUCCGCAAUGGGCGAAAGCCUGACGGAGCAACGCCGCGUGAGUGAUGAAGGUCUUCGGAUCGUAAAACUCUGUUAUUAGGGAAGAACAUAUGUGUAAGUAACUGUGCACAUCUUGACGGUACCUAAUCAGAAAGCCACGGCUAACUACGU